AUUGAACGCUGGCGGCAGGCUUAACACAUGCAAGUCGAACGGUAGCAGGAGAAAGCUUGCUUUCUUGCUGACGAGUGGCGGACGGGUGAGUAAUGCUUGGGAAUCUGGCUUAUGGAGGGGGAUAACGACGGGAAACUGUCGCUAAUACCGCGUAGUAUCGGAAGAUGAAAGUGCGGGACCGCAAGGCCGCAUGCCAUAAGAUGAGCCCAAGUGGGAUUAGGUAGUUGGUGGGGUAAAGGGCUACCAAGCCUGCGAUCUCUAGCUGGUCUGAGAGGAUGGCCAGCCACACUGGAACUGAGACACGGUCCAGACUCCUACGGGAGGCAGCAGUGGGGAAUAUUGCGCAAUGGGGGGAACCCUGACGCAGCCAUGCCGCGUGAAUGAAGAAGGCCUUCGGGUUGUAAAGUUCUUUCGGUAUUGAGGAAGGAGUGUAUGUUAAUAGCAUACAUUAUUGACGUUAAAUACAGAAGAAGCACCGGCUAACUCCGUG
rnacentral:rRNA from 1 species